GAUGAACGCUGGCGGCGCGCCUAACACAUGCAAGUCGAACGGCACCUAUCUUCGGAUAGAAGCGAGUGGCGAACGGCUGAGUAACACGUGGAGAACCUGCCCCCUCCCCCGGGAUAGCCGCCCGAAAGGACGGGUAAUACCGGAUACCCCGGGGUGCCGCAUGGCACCCCGGCUAAAGCCCCGACGGGAGGGGAUGGCUCCGCGGCCCAUCAGGUAGACGGCGGGGUGACGGCCCACCGUGCCGACAACGGGUAGCCGGGUUGAGAGACCGACCGGCCAGAUUGGGACUGAGACACGGCCCAGACUCCUACGGGAGGCAGCAGUGGGGAAUCUUGCGCAAUGGGGGGAACCCUGACGCAGCGACGCCGCGUGCGGGACGGAGGCCUUCGGGUCGUAAACCGCUUUCAGCAGGGAAGAGUCAAGACUGUACCUGCAGAAGAAGCCCCGGCUAACUACGUG
rnacentral:rRNA from 1 species